rnacentral:rRNA from 1 species
CCGACGGUGAGGGAUGACAGCUGGGGGCGCAAACCGGAUUAGAUACCCGGUAGUCCAGCAUAAACGAUGCACUAUGUGUGCUGAACAUGGUCAGCAGUGCCGAAGGGAAGCCGUGAAGCUGGCCACCUGGGAAGUACGGUCGCAAGGCUGAAACUUAAAGGAAUUGGCGGGGGAGUACCACAACCGGUGGAGCCUGCGGUUUAAUUGGAUACAACGCCGGGAAUCUUACCGGAGGGGACAGCAGUAUGAAGGCCAGGCUAAAGACCUUGCCAGAUCAGCUGAGAGGAGGUGCAUGGCCGUCGCCAGUUCGUACCGUGAGGCAUCCUGUUUAGUCAGGCAACGAUCGAGACCCGCAGUCUUAUUUGCCAGCAUGCCCUUUGGGGUGUAUGGGUACAGUAAGACGACCGCCAGCGCUAAGCUGGAGGAAGGAGCGGGCUACGGUAGGUCAGCAUGCCCCGAAUCCUCCGGGAUACACGCGGGCUACAAUGGUCAGGACAAAAGGUACCGACCUCGAAGAGAGUGAGGUAAUCCACAAACCUGAUCUCAGUCCGGAUCGAAGGCUGCAACUCGCCUUCGUGAAGAUGGAAUCGGUAGUAAUCGUGACUCAAAAUGUCACGGUGAAUAUGUCCCUGCUCCUUGCACACA